rnacentral:lncRNA from 1 species
UGUUUUGGUUGCCAUAGAGUUCCACAUCUAGCUUGCUUAUUGGAGGGAAUACCUGAAUUUUGAAUUACACAAGUGUACUUUUAGUAGUUGAAUGGAAACCUUAAAAAAAGAUUAGUCAAGUUACACAAGUGUGUACUUUUAGUAGUUGAAUGGAAACCGGAUUGACCCCAGCAACCAUUUCUCUUGCAAAUUCUUCAUCAGUGCUCCAAGCGGAUAAAGACACACCCAUUCGGUUAUUAGGGUAGUUUCCAACUUCCAUUUUGUCACUUCUGGUCCUCGUACUUUGUAACCGCUACUUAAUAAUAAUUCUAACUAUCUAUCUAACUAUGUACAUGAUGUUAAGAGAUUAACCGGUUUCACAAUUAUGUGUCAUGUACCUGGUCUAACCUAACCGGUCCGGUUUUAAAACCACGGGUAACUUAAACUAACCUGUUUCAGUUGGUGGUCUUCCUGUUCUACCCCUACGAGGGUAAGGGUACU